rnacentral:rRNA from 1 species
AUUGAACGCUGGCGGCAUGCCUUACACAUGCAAGUCGAACGGCAGCACGGGUGCUUGCACCUGGUGGCGAGUGGCGAACGGGUGAGUAAUACAUCGGAACGUACCUUAUCGUGGGGGAUAACGCAGCGAGAGCUGUGCUAAUACCGCAUACGCCCUGAGGGGGAAAGCGGGGGAUCGAAAGACCUCGCGCGAUUAGAGCGGCCGAUGCCUGAUUAGCUUGUUGGUGGGGUAAAAGCCCACCAAGGCGACGAUCAGUAGCUGGUCUGAGGGGACGAUCAGCCACACUGGGACUGAGACACGGCCCAGACUCCUACGGGAGGCAGCAGUGGGGAAUUUUGGACAAUGGGGGCAACCCUGAUCCAGCAAUGCCGCGUGAGUGAAGAAGGCCUUCGGGUUGUAAAGCUCUUUUGUCAGGGAAGAAACACCGGCUCUAACACAGUCCGGGAAUGACGGUACCUGAAGAAUAAGCACCGGCUAACUACGUGCCAGCAGCCGCUGUAG